rnacentral:rRNA from 1 species
CCUACGGGGGGCAGCAGUGAGGAAUAUUGGUCAAUGGCCGCAGGGCUGAACCAGCCAAGUCGCGUGAGGGAUGACGGUCCUAUGGAUUGUAAACCUCUUUUGUCAGGGAGCAAAGGGCGCCACGUGUGGCGCUUUGCGAGUACCUGAAGAAAAAGCAUCGGCUAACUCCGUGCCAGCAGCCGCGGUAAUACGGAGGAUGCGAGCGUUAUCCGGAUUUAUUGGGUUUAAAGGGUGCGCAGGCGGAAUGUCAAGUCAGCGGUAAAAUUUCGGGGCUCAACCCCGUCGUGCCGUUGAAACUGGCGUUCUUGAGUGAGCGAGAAGUAUGCAGAAUGCGUGGUGUAGCGGUGAAAUGCAUAGAUAUCACGCAGAACUCCGAUUGCGAAGGCAGCAUACCGGCGCUCAACUGACGCUCAUGCACGAAAGCGUGGGUAUCGAACAGGAUUAGAUACCCCGGUAGUC